rnacentral:lncRNA from 1 species
AUGUGGGAAUUAACAUUUUUAUGUUGUGAUGUCUUAGAAGAUGAGGAAGAAAAGAAUGAGAGAAGACAAAAACUUGUGAGAAAUAAACAACAAGAAGCACAGAGUGAAAAGGCCAGUAGAUACACAGAGAACAUUUUAAAACCUCGCCAGGAAAUGAAGUUAAAAAAACUGGAAGAACGCUUUUAUCAAAUGACGGGUGAAACCUGGAAGUUAACCAGUAGUCACAAACUUAGGGUUAGAAAAUACUGUUUUAUAUAUAUAUAUAUAUAUAUGAAUGUAUGUUUUAUUUUAUCCCCCCACUCUUUUAUAUUUUGAAUCCUGCUAUUACUUAGGUUUCUUUUUAUUGGUUUCUUAAAAGUUGAAAAUGAUAUUAAACAGUACAGUCUGUCUUUUAAGAGUCUUUGUUGAUAAUGAUUACUUACCACUUUUUAUUCAGCAUGCUUGUGUAUCAAGAAGUUAAGUUCUUGGUGCCUGAAGAGCGUGUAUCUUAGAAAAGCUCAGUCAUAAGGCAGUCUUCAAGAAAACUGUAAAGAAACCAGUUUUAAGGAAAUUCUGAUCUUUUCUCAAUUUAGACCCCAAAAUAUUAAGCUCACAUUAUAUUUAUUAUGUUUGACUCUGCUUAUGAAGUCAUAUUAGCCUUUGAUUAUUUUUUCC